UAGGGAAUCUUCCGCAAUGGGCGAAAGCCUGACGGAGCAACGCCGCGUGAGUGAAGAAGGAUUUCGGUUCGUAAAGCUCUGUUGUUAGGGAAGAAUGAUUGUAUAGUAACUAUAUACAGUAGAGACGGUACCUAACCAGAAAGCCACGGCUAACUACGUGCCAGCAGCCGCGGUAAUACGUAGGUGGCAAGCGUUGUCCGGAAUUAUUGGGCGUAAAGCGCGCGCAGGUGGUUUAAUAAGUCUGAUGUGAAAGCCCACGGCUCAACCGUGGAGAGUCAUUGGAAACUGUUAAACUUGAGUGCAGGAGAGAAAAGUGGAAUUCCUAGUGUAGCGGUGAAAUGCGUAGAGAUUAGGAGGAACACCAGUGGCGAAGGCGGCUUUUUGGCCUGUAACUGACACUGAGGCGCGAAAGCGUGGGGAGCAAACAGGAUUAGAUACCCUGGUAGUCCACGCCGUAAACGAUGAGUGCUAAGUGUUGGUCUCAUAAGAGAUCAGUGCUGCAGCUAACGCAUUAAGCACUCCGCCUGGGGAGUACGACCGCAAGGUUG
rnacentral:rRNA from 1 species